GACGAACGCUGGCGGCGUGCUUAACACAUGCAAGUCGAACGGAAAGGCCCUGCUUUUGUGGGGUGCUCGAGUGGCGAACGGGUGAGUAACACGUGAGUAACCUGCCCUUGACUUUGGGAUAACUUCAGGAAACUGGGGCUAAUACCGGAUAGGAGCUCCUGCUGCAUGGUGGGGGUUGGAAAGUUUCGGCGGUUGGGGAUGGACUCGCGGCUUAUCAGCUUGUUGGUGGGGUAGUGGCUUACCAAGGCAUUGACGGGUAGCCGGCCUGAGAGGGUGACCGGCCACAUUGGGACUGAGAUACGGCCCAGACUCCUACGGGAGGCAGCAGUGGGGAAUAUUGCAAAAUGGGCGGGAGCCUGAUGCAGCAACGCCGCGUGCGGGAUGACGGCCUUCGGGUUGUAAACCGCUUUCGCCUGUGACGAAGCGUGAGUGACGGUAAUGGGUAAAGAAGCACCGGCUAACUACGUG
rnacentral:rRNA from 1 species